UACGAGGGGGGCAAGCGUUGUUCGGAAUUAUUGGGCGUAAAGGGCGCGUAGGCGGUCUGAUAAGUCUUGUGUGGAAUCUCUGGGGCUCAACCCAGAGUCUGCAUAGGAAACUGUCGGGCUUGAGUAUGGGAGAGGUGCGUGGAAUUUCCGGUGUAGCGGUGAAAUGCGUAGAUAUCGGAAGGAACACCUGUGGCGAAAGCGGCGCACUGG
rnacentral:rRNA from 1 species